CUCAGCCUCCUGAGUAGCUGGGACCACAGAUGCUUCAGUUUUCCACCAGGAGCCAAUUCAUGUUCCCUUGCAGCUUCAGGGACCACAGAGGGACAAGUGCAAGAAGGACCUGUCAUCACCGGGCCAAGGAAGGAACUCCAGACUGCCUACUUCCAGAGGGUCUGCUGAGUAAGCCACACACAUCCUUGUGGUUUAAACAACUGGUCACCCAGCAUCUUGUCAUUUAUAGCAAAAAGCAGUCCUACCUAAUACACUAGCCAAACACCCAUGGGCUCGCCCAAACAUUCAGCAAACACUAAAUCAAUGUUUGCUGAGUAUUCCCUGCAUCCUGACACUUUAUCACAUUUAAUUUAACCCACCUAACAACUUGAAGAUCCAAAUUAUUAUCCCUACGUUAAAGAUAAGGAACAUGGGUGUGAUAGGGCAGCCCUAGUGGCUGUAGAAAAAAGACAACCCCAAAUCUCAGUGGCGUCACACAAUAGAUGAUGCUAUUUCUCACUCAUGCAAAGUUUCAUUGUGACUGAGAUAGGGGCUCCAUACAGUCAUUCAGAGACCCAGGAUGAUGGAGGUUUUGCCACCGUCAACAUGGGGCUUAUAAGUCACUCUAGGUGUUAACAUCUGACUGGCAGAUACGGGAAGAAAACGUGUGGAGGAUCGCACCGAAGGCGUCAUGGUCCAGUGUGUGAUCCAAGUGUGUGAGCAUCACUUUCACCACAUUCACUGACUGGAGAGAACUCAGCCAUAUGGCCACACCCCAGGGCAAGGAGGGCUAGGAAUGAUGCCCAAGUAUUCCUCCUGGCCCCAGAGGAAAGGGUAGUGAGUUGCUGAACAAUUAGCUAAUCUCUGCCACCAGGGCUCAUGGGGCUGUUGAACUGACCCACAAAACUCUCAGAUGGGUGAAGUGGAACUCUGUCUGCUUUGUUUCCUCAGGUGUCCAGAAGUCCAGGGCUGUGCUCAGAAUAGCAUCAGAGCUUGGCUGAGCCAGGCACAAGCCAGAGCCGGUCCUUAGCAGGGACAGAAGUCCUCCUAGCAUCCUCUCUGUCACUGGGCCAUAUUCCUUCUGUUGCUUUCAUCCCUGUGUUCUAGGGGCUCGACUUACAUAGCAGGGGUGGUGCACAGCAGAUUGGAGAAGACAGGACCCUGGACCAGCUCUGCGUCCUAACUGUGGGGUCUUGGGCAGGUCACUAGAUCUUUCUGUGCCUCAGCUUCCUCAUCUGUGGAGGGCACUAACACUACUUCCUUCACAGCGUUGCUGGGCCCUGGGUGAGUGAUGCACAGAAAGCAUUCAGAGCCAUGCCGGGUAGUGACCCCUGGGUGUUAGCUGGGUUUCGCUCCCGGGGAGUCCUCCUGGCUCCUCAUUGUCCCGUGUUACAGAUGAGGAAACAGAGGCGCAGAGGGAAAGUCGCGGGUCUGCCCCUCCUGCCACUCCACCUUUCGUCUCCAUGAGAGUUUCUGAUAGGGAGCGGUUUGGGGGUCUCAGGGACUACUCCUUGCGGGCUACGGGCUGUGGGCUGUGGCAAGGCCCCCUCCAGCAACCUGGGUUCCUGACUUCCUCACAAGGCCUGGCCUCCUCCCUCCGCAGCACACUCACACCACAGGCCUGAGGUGCUGGAGUCUGUCACUGGUGUGCAAAACCCGCAGAGCUUUCUCAUUUCUGCUCUGGCGGAACAAAAUCCCCUGCAGCUGAGCUUAGUCAGUGGAGGCCUCAGGAUGUUCCGUGUGGAGAGAUAAGGCCCAGUGGAGUGCUAAAGCUGAGCCCUGAAGCGUAGGCCCAUUAGGGGCCCAGAAGAGCCUGAGCCUCUGGUGGUGCAGUUUCCUAAAUCCCAGCUCCUGAGUGUUUACCUUCUUCACGCAGGCUCCCAGCAAUCCAUGCACCUUCUCCUGGGCCCCUCUUCCUCCCUCCCUCCUCUUGACUCAGUGAGUUUUUACUGAGCACCUACUGUGUGUCAGGCAUUGUUCAAGGUCUGGGGGCACAGCAGCAAAUAAGGCAGACACAAUCCCUGCCCUCAGGAGCUGGCAUGCCUGGGCCGAGGCAGACGCAGGUGGAUGCAGGGUAUGCAAGAAGGCACCAAGAGCUGAGGAGAAAAAUGGAGCUGGGGAGGGACAGGCAUCAUGGGGUGGGGGCAGGAAGAGCUGCAGUCUAGAAUCAGGUGCUGGGGAAGGUAGGAAAGUGAGGAGUCGAGUCUUGGGGCAAUCUAGGGGAAAGGUGUUUCAGGCAUUUCAGGCCAAGGGAACAGCUGAUGCAAAGGCCUGGGCCUGCUGCGCCUGUUGAGGAACAGCGAGGAGACCAGUGUGGCGGAAGCACAGGGGGCAGGGCCGGGGUGGG